GACGAACGCUGGCGGCGUGCCUAAUACAUGCAAGUCGAACGCUGAAGGAGGAGCUUGCUUCUCUGGAUGAGUUGCGAACGGGUGAGUAACGCGUAGGUAACCUGCCUGGUAGCGGGGGAUAACUAUUGGAAACGAUAGCUAAUACCGCAUAAGAGUAGAUGUUGCAUGACAUUUGCUUAAAAGGUGCAAUUGCAUCACUACCAGAUGGACCUGUGUUGUAUUAGCUAGUUGGUGGGGUAACGGCUCACCAAGGCGACGAUACAUAGCCGACCUGAGAGGGUGAUCGGCCACACUGGGACUGAGACACGGCCCAGACUCCUACGGGAGGCAGCAGUAGGGAAUCUUCGGCAAUGGACGGAAGUCUGACCGAGCAACGCCGCGUGAGUGAAGAAGGUUUUCGGAUCGUAAAGCUCUGUUGUAAGAGAAGAACGAGUGUGAGAGUGGAAAGUUCACACUGUGACGGUAUCUUACCAGAAAGGGACGGCUAACUACGUG
rnacentral:rRNA from 1 species